AGAAGGCCUCUCCCACGCUACUGUGUCCCGCCUUGUGAAGUCCAUCUCAAUAGCCAUUGCCAGGAGAUCGGAGCAAUACAUCUCAAUUCUUUCAACAAGAGAGGCAGUCCUGCAGAGUGCAGACCCAACAUGAAUUUUAUAAUUACUGCCAUUUCCCUGGCGUUAAUAUGGUUGGUGCUAUUGAUUGCACCCACAUAGGCGUCUCCAAGCCAGUUGGCCCAACACCAGUCAUUUCCUGAACAGGAAAAAUAGAUACUCCAUUUUUCUUGGAAAGUCUGCUGGAUGAUGUUCUUCUUCAGUAAAAUAAAUGAAGGCAAAUAACCUGAUGAUUAAGACAAAUUCAGAGAGAGGAAGGAGAACUUCUGAGCUGCUGAAUUUCUGAGAGACAUACUUGCGGGGACUAUGAAGUUCUACUUAGCCUAUUCAAUGAACCAAACUCCGUCUGCUGUAACUGUGACUGCAUGGGGAUCAAAACCUUUUGUAUUAUAAUCCUCAUAACAUGAAGCUAUGGUAACAAACAAGCAACCAUUGAUAAUAAGCCUGAUAUGUCCUUGUUGUGUGUGUGAACCACAAAGGAACAAUUACUCAUAAGGAUGUUUUUAUGUACAUCAGAUGUUUACUGUUUCACUGGAAAAAUUGUGAUUUUAAGUCAUUUAAGAAAUUAUGUUUUGUAUUGUGUUUUAUAAUAUAGUGCAAGUCAUCAUAUAACAGAUUCCCUGCACAAGAAACACAGC